CACUCCUCCCACCUUUGCCAAAAGCUGUGGUGUUUGAGCAGCCAAAGCCAAGAGGCUUCAGCACCAGGGAUCUGCACUGGAGGGCUCCUGGUCCUGCCCAUGCUGUGGGUGAGAAGAACACAAACUCACAGCCAGUCAGGCCUGACAGUCCCCUGCAGCAAGAGCUCAGCACACAUCUACAGAGGCAAGUCCAGCACCUGAAAGAAAAAAAAAA